UACAGAGGGGGCAAGCGUUAUUCGGAAUUAUUGGGCGUAAAGAGCGCGUAGGCGGCCCAGUAAGUCCGCUCUGAAAGUCAGAGGCUCAACCUCUGAAUGCGGGUGGAUACUGCUGGGCUAGAGUCCGGAAGAGGCGAGUGGAAUUCCCGGUGUAGCGGUGAAAUGCGCAGAUAUCGGGAAGAACACCCGUGGCGAAGGCGGUUCUCUGGGACGGUACUGACGCUGAGACGCGAAAGCGUGGGGAGCGAACAGG
rnacentral:rRNA from 1 species